AUGAGGAAGUGAGUCAAAACUGCAGAAAAUAUCUCUUCGAUAAGAAUCUGGAAAUCCACAGAGGGAUAUAUUUAGCUGAGAGAGUAGCUAGUUUCCUCUCUUCUGUGAAUAUUUUGGCUGGGUGCUAAGAUUUGUUGUUUGAUCAUGAGUACAUGCUUGGCUCACACAGUCACACACCCAAGGCAGCCAGGCUUCCUUCAUACAGAUGUCUUCACUUGAGUAAGAAAUAAGGAAGUGUAAACCAGUCUGUAGCACUACAGUGACUCCCAACUCAUGGACGUGUGUUCUGUCCGUCACAACAACACCUUCCUCAGGUAAGUCUCGCUGCUCGGAUACGGUUUCUACGGAGACCUCCUGACGGACUGCGAGAGGAAGUGCUGGAUGGGGCCUCCCAGAUACGAUCUCUCAGGUCUAAUGAUGUUCCUGACCCAUCAGUAUUAUGAAGGGACUGUCGCUUUCCUGCUCGCUGAGGACAAACCUGGGGAAACAUAGAGACAAGGUCAAGUGCAGAACUGGGUGCCAUAUCUGUGAGCAGGUUGCCAACAAUAGGCAGCCCCUCUUAGGGGAUCAUGUCUACUAGAUGGCUGAAGAGGACUCUGACAAGGAGACGAGCGGUGAUUGUGUAUGGCGGUUGAUCCGGGGGAAGUUCCUAGCAAUCAACGCUGCCGGCAUGAGCUGUGCCUGUCCUUGCAGCCCAAGAGGCCUGUUGCCAGAACCGGGCGGCCCUAUACACUCACUACACAAGUAGGACCCUGCAAAUUACGCCAGGGCCCGCCUCCCCCUUGUGUCAAAGCGGGUGUCAAUGUUUACAACUUCGAUGAGAGGAUGAAGUGGAAGUAUCCUUCUGGUCACGAAAAGAGAGAACAAAACACCAUGAGAGUGAAUUGUGAGAACAGCAAUCAGGUAAACUUGUGUUCUCUCCUCUCCAAGUUUGAUGUCAGCAAAUAGCAGUAACGUUAAGUUGAUGUGCUAGCUUGCAGUGCAUCUCUCUCUAGUUUGUCUUGCUAACCUAGCUGGGUAGUGCAUCUCUUGGUCUGUCUGUGUCUUGCUUGCUUGCCAGCCACUUCCAAGGCUGUGUUCUGUGAACUUGUGCCUAACAAAAGUGAGAGUGAAAUAAAACUAUUUAUUACGUUUGACAAACGCCAACGGACAAUGGUGUUUAUAAACUGCAGCUCGGAAAAGAUAACCGCGUUGCGCGUGAACAUGCGUUCAUAUGUGCGUGCACGAAAUGAACCUCGCCUUUCCAGCAGCAACCUCUGUGGGGACCAGUCCAGAAAAUAUAUGGGAGUGACGGUACUCCUCAUAGGCGCACAUCAUUUUAAAACAAGAAAAUUAUUAUCUAGUCACUCGGUCAAGGUUUAGUUACAACUCUGGACUAAUGCAAGAUGGAAAGCAAUGGAUUGACAUUAACUAUUGAUUUAUAUAUUGAAUUAAAAAUGUUGAUUAGCUGGGCAUACUGGGCAAUAUGGAAACACAUCCCUCAGUAAAUAAUAACCAUAAAUUACUCAGCCAAGCCAUAGUAUAAAUAGUAUUUUAUGUUUGAAAAUAUAUAAAAGGAAAUCUGGGAGAGCCAGUUUGAAUGGGCCUGAUGCAGCUGAUAAAAUUAAUACUAGUAUUGUUAUCUAUAGUUUACAGGUGCUAUGCUUACGUUUCUCAGCAGAGGAGAUGCUGGAUCAUCAGCCAGUACAAGCACAGUUAAUCCACAUCCAGCCUCAGCCAGUACUAACACAGAUCCAGGUGAAGUACAGGCAGCCUCAGCCAGUACUAGCACAAACCAGAGGUGUACAGCCAGCAUCAGAUACUAGCAGCUCAGACCGCAAUAGAACAGUUGCUGCUCCACAAAAUGCCCCAGCAGAUUGGCCCCCAGUCUUAACAGACUUUAUGAGGACUGAGUUAGUGCUCAGUGGUCCAUUCAAACCAGGACUGGAUUUUUCUUACCCUAAAGACAAGUCUAGAAGAGGUUUCCAUUCAGGCUUAUUACAGAGACAGCUGUCAAAUGGGGGAAAGAUGAGCUGAGCAAGUUGUGUAUUGUUUUAGCUGUAAGCUCUUUUCUACAAAAGACUAUAAAAUAAUAAAGGAAGGCGUGAAUGACUGCUCAAAUAUCAACGCCAUUCUGAAACACCACGAGGGUAGUCCUGAACACACAAACAAUAUGAUUAAGUGGAGAGAACUUGAUCUGCGCCGAAGUCGGGACAGACUCUCGACCAGAUACAAAUGACAAUUUUGGAGGCUGAAAGAAAGAUAGCGGGAUGUCCUUACACGUUUAAUAAGUAUCACCCAGUCUCUGGCUGAAAGAAGCCUAGCAUUCUUCCAAUCAGAUAAUGGAAACUUCCUAAAAGAGGUUGAAUUACUAGCAAAUUUGACCCCAUAAUGGAAAAUCUCUCAGAAAAAGUAAAGAUGGAGACACAUGCUCAUUACCUUGGGAAGCGCACACAGAAUGAGCUGAUAUAGAUUGUGAGUGACAAGAUUCUGGAAGCAAUAGUGACUCAAGAGACUCAAAGUACUUCUUCAUCAUCUUGGACUGUACACCUGACAUUGGUCACCAGGAGAAAAUGUAAAUUAUUCUGAGAAGUGUGGCUUUAAAGGGAAAGCCAGAGAUCAAGGAGCACUUCCUCGGCUUUGUGAAUGUUGAGGUUUUACAACAGGCUUGAACCUGUCCACUGUCAUCUUAGAUAAGCUGAACAAGCUGAAGAUUCCAUUUGAAGAUUGCAGAGGGCAAGCUUAUGAUAAUGGGGCCAAACAUGAAGGGCAAGCACCAAGGAGUACAAGCCAGACUGCUCAAAGAAAUCGUCCCAUGUGGAGCACAUACUCUAAACCUUAUCAUUGCAGAUGCUGCCAAAUCUUCAAAAGAUGCAGAAGCCUAGCAUUCAGAGAUUCACACUUAAGAGUGUUUUUAAGAAACACGUGAACAUAACUGAAGUCAUGGAGUGACAUAAGAUGGGAGAGUAGGCUCCAAAGUGUUCAUGCAAUCAGGUAUCAGGCUUCUGAGGUUCGGGAGGCAUUACUGGAAGCCAGACAGAUGAUCAACGAUCCUGUGGCCAAAGUGGAAGCACAAGUGCUUGCAGAGGAAGUUGGGUCCUACCGCUUAUUGAUUUGCUGUGUUGUAUGGUGUGAGAUACUGACAAUGACAAACAAGGUGAACAAGCUCCUCCAAUAUGUCUCAAUUCAGUAAAUUCGCAGUGAAUUUAAUCUCAAAUGCAAAGGCCUCCCCCACUACAUACCGGGAAACUGGAUUCUCUGUGACCCAGACAACAACCAAAAGCAUUUUUGAAGAAAUGAAUGUGGAGAAUGUUCUGAAAGAGAAGAGACUGAGAAACAGCAAGAGGCAUUUCAUCUAUGAGGUCGCUGAUGAACCAGUGACUGAUGCACUGAAAACCUUCAAGUCAACUACUUAAUGUCACUGCUGUGAUAUUCAUGAGUUUUGGAACACUCAACCAGGUGAAAACCAAAUAUGGAGUUCUGCUGAACUUCCGCACUGCCUCUCAGAUGUCCAGUGAAUCUUUAAAGGUUCACUGCAUGGAAGCUUGAAAACACUCUAACCUUCAGUGGAAUGGAUCUGGCACACGAGAUUCAGAAUGUACCUGACUGCCUUUGAGCUGCUUUCCUUUCUCUGUGAGAAAAACCUGGAGGAACUCUAGUCUAACCUUUGGAUAGCCCUAAGAAUUGCAGUCACCCUACCAGUAACAGUAGCAUCAGCAGAGAGGAGCUUUUCAAAAUUAAAGCUCAUCAAAAGCUACCUGUGACAGGUCUGUUCCCGUCGGGCCUCAGCCGGACGGUCAGUUCUUGUUCGCCUGGCCGGUCCAAGAGUCUUUUUUGUUUGCUUUUUGUUUUGUUGGUGACGUUGGGGUUGAUUCCGCCGUCGAUGGACCCGGGAGUGCAUAAGCCAGCACGUCGGGCUUUCACGCCCUGGCUGGCUUAAGCGGUUUCCUUGCCUCGGUUGGCUCAGCGGCUUCCCAUCAAACUUCACACUCCACCGGAUCUUCGGGCUCCCCCUCUGCAGUGAGAUUGACAGGCGUCUUGCCUCAGCCGGAUCAUCGGGCUUCCAUGCCUCACACGGCUCGCCAGACUCUCACGCUUCCAAGCCCCAACCGUCUUGCCCCAGCGCCCAUGCCUCGGGCCGGUUCCCCCAGGUGGGACACCGGGUGGCGCCCUUAGAGGGGGAUACUGUCACGUCUGCUCCCGCUCCCCCCUCUGUUUCCCGCUUCUGCAUGAAUUGUUUUUUAUGUCUGUAUUAUUAGUUUGCUGACGCUGUUACUGUCUCGUUCCAUGUCCAUUCUUUAUGAAACGUUUUACUCCCCAUACAUGCUUCGUCUCUCCAGCGUCGUCCAAUGUGACAACCUGAGGUCUUCCAUGUCACAGGAACGUUUGUGUGGUCUGGCCAUCAUGAGCAUAAAUCAUGACGUGGGGAAACACAUGUCCUAUGAUGACAUCAUUGAUGAUUUUUCUCGAAGUGCAGAAGAGGAAUAUUUUGAUGGCAGUCCAGAUAGACUGGUGCUGAUGCUGGAAAUGCCCAGACUGCAGAGGGAACCAAAGUUAAUCACACAGAUGUAUAGGUUUUAUUUUACUAUUUUGAGACAUGUAGCUGCAGCCAGAGCCUAUAGGUUUAUGUUUACAUUGUAUAGCCAAAGCAAAUCAAACAGCUGUAUUGGUUUUAUUUGACUAUUUUAAGACAUACAGCUGCAGCCAGAGCUUAUAGGCUUAUGUUUACAUUGUAUAGACAAAGCUAAUUGUAUAAUACUGUGAGGACUGGACUAAUUGCCAGGCAGCAGAGCCAAAGCUCAGUGUUAUAUUUGAUUAUUUUCUACGUUUGAUAUUUUCUACAAUUUCUUAUUGAUGUUCACGUUAAUAUUCACUUAUCUUAAGAUUCUAUAGAAAAUAUUCUAUUCAUUAAAAUUGUUUGUUUAUACCUUUGUCUGUAUAGGUCUACUUAUUCUUAGAUUGACAGGUGGAGCAAACUGUUUUAAAGGAGGGGGAUUGUAGUGGGAGCACUGGGGGAUCAGGUGUGACUGUGUGGCAAUGGCAAAUGGUUUACAUGGCUCACGGUUCAGGUAGGAGGGCCCUUUAGCAGAAUUUUUGUUUAGGGCCUCAGGGAGGUCAGACCCGGCUCUGUCUGUUGCCCAUCCUAGCUUCCCGCCUCGACUUCCUCCGACACCUCAUACGACACACCAACAAGGAUGACCAUGUAGGGAACUCUGAGUUGUUAAUGAGAAUUGUUUUGCUAUUAUUUAUUGAUUUUGACAAUCAUAAAAGAUAAUUAGAUGUAAGAUGAUUCAAUCAGAGGGGGAUAUCACCCCCUCCCCCCCAAAAGUUAGAAGAUUUAGCAAAGUUACUUGCUAAGUAAAUACAGAUUUUUUUCCAAACCAUAUUAAUCUCAGGUAAUGUAUUAUGGAUCAAGCCAGUAAAACUUUUGAAAGUCACAAGGAGUUCAGGAGGAGAUGGAGAAUGCCUCAGUCACUUACUCACUCAGUCACUCCCAUGUACUGCAUGUCAUGGGUUACUCAGCUUUCACAGAGAGAUGGAGAUUGAGUGGGAGAGAGUUUCCCUGUACUUUGCUUGCACACCUCAUGGUUUAGUUUGCUGACACAGCUCUUUCUAAAUCGGGGUAUACCUCAAUUCAGACAUGCUCUUGCUUCCCACUCUUGCUCUCUCACUUUUCGUAAAUAUCCCAAUUCUACAAAGUGAUAUCCCAAUUCUACAAAGUGCUCUGGAUAGCUUGCAUCAUCCUCCUACAUGCACACGCACACGCGGGAUGGUAGGAUGUUCAUUGCAUUAUACCUCUGUUAUAUCUGCAUAGCCCAUCCACCAAGGAGAGAAACAAGGAGUGAGAGGCCACUAGGUGUAUUCAUAGUUUUGACAGAAAGCUUUUUAGGGGAAACUUGGUGUGAAUACUAACCAGGCCCAGUCAUAAAGUAAGUCUGAUGGAGAAUAAAUCGCUCCUCUCCUCUCAGACAGUCUGUGGAGUGGAACUGAGUAGUGAUGGGGGGGGAUAAAGAGAUUGUUUUCUGGGGCAGUGAAAGAUUGAGAUCUUUGGCACUGUUGAUUGACCCCUUCUUUUCUGCCUCUUUUCCCUACUCUCUAUCCAUCCCCUCAUGUCUUUACUCCCUUCUCCUUAUUCCUACCUCUAUCCAUCCAUCUCUCCCUCUCUCUCUCCAUUCCUCCCUCCCCUAACUUCCCUCCAUCCCUCCCUCUCUGCCUCCACAGUUUGACAUGUCCUUCAUGGAGGUGCACCGUGUGCGGGAGAUCCGGUUUGUUCCGAAGCACAGCAAUGUGAUCUCAGAGGUGGACCCGAGUGAGACCAGUGGGAAGAAGAUCUGUAACCAGGUCUGUACGGCCCAUCCCAGCUACGACACAGGCCAUAGCAACUGGAACUGUGAUGAGGAGAUCAUGCCUCAUGUGGCAAUACAUGUCAGUAAUUGUUCUUGGAAUGAGUCAGCAAAUGAGCGGCUGAGAUAAUUGAUGGUGAUAACCCCGAUCUCCCCCCAAAAAUAAAGAAAAAAAGAAGACGGAGAGAAGUUGGCUGCUUUCUUUCACUGCUAGACACAAUAUUAGUAGGUGACUUCAAUAGUAUAUAUUUUAAAGUAAAUAUGGUUAAGUGUUUGGUUGCGUCUGUCUGGAUUGCCUGAUGGGCAGUGCAUGCACAGUUGGGCCUAUUCAAAUAUUAUUUGAAUCACCAGUGUGACUGACUUGAAAAUAAAAUCUGUAUGGUCCUUG